ACGAACGCUGGCGGCAGGCCUCACCCCUGCCAGUCGCGCGCGCCCUUCGGGGUGAGCGGCGGACGGGUGAGUAACGCGUGGGAACGUGCCCUUCUCUGCGGAAUAGCCUCGGGAAACUGAGAGUAAUACCGCAUACGCCCUUUGGGGGAAAGAUUUAUCGGAGAAGGAUCGGCCCGCGUUGGAUUAGGUAGUUGGUGGGGUAAUGGCCCACCAAGCCGACGAUCCAUAGCUGGUUUGAGAGGAUGAUCAGCCACACUGGGACUGAGACACGGCCCAGACUCCUACGGGAGGCAGCAGUGGGGAAUCUUAGACAAUGGGGGCAACCCUGAUCUAGCCAUGCCGCGUGAGUGAUGAAGGCCUUAGGGUUGUAAAGCUCUUUCAGCUGGGAAGAUAAUGACGGUACCAGCAGAAGAAGCCCCGGCUAACUCCGUG
rnacentral:rRNA from 1 species